GAUGAACGCUGGCGGCGUGCCUAAUACAUGCAAGUCGAGCGAACAGACGAGGAGCUUGCUCCUCUGACGUUAGCGGCGGACGGGUGAGUAACACGUGGAUAACCUACCUAUAAGACUGGGAUAACUUCGGGAAACCGGAGCUAAUACCGGAUAAUAUAUUGAACCGCAUGGUUCAAUAGUGAAAGACGGUUUUGCUGUCACUUAUAGAUGGAUCCGCGCCGCAUUAGCUAGUUGGUAAGGUAACGGCUUACCAAGGCAACGAUGCGUAGCCGACCUGAGAGGGUGAUCGGCCACACUAGAGCUGGAACACGGUCCAGACUCCUACGGGAGGGAGCAGUAGGGAAUCUUACGCAGUGGGCGAAAGCCUGACGGAGCAACGCCGCGUGAGUGAUGAAGGUCUUCGGAUCGUAAAACUCUGUUAUUAGGGAAGAACAAAUGUGUAAGUAACUAUGCACGUAUUGACGGUACCUAAUCAGAAAGCCACGGCUAACUACGUG
rnacentral:rRNA from 1 species